rnacentral:misc_RNA from 1 species
UCUCCGUUGGUGAACCAGCGGAGGGAUCAUUACUGAGUUACCGCUCUACGACCCUUUGUGAACAUACCUAACUGUUGCUUCGGCGGGCAGAGGUCCCUCGCGGAUCUCUCCCGGCAACGCCCUCACGGGCGGAGCGCCCGCCGGAGGAUACCAAACUCUAUUUUAACGACGUUUCUUCUGAGUGGCACAAGCAAAUAAUUAAAACUUUUAACAACGGAUCUCUUGGUUCUG